rnacentral:rRNA from 1 species
CCUACGGGAGGCUGCAGUGGGGAAUAUUGCACAAUGGGCGAAAGCCUGAUGCAGCAACGCCGCGUGAGUGAUGAAGGCCUUCGGGACGGAAAGCUCUGUCAACAAGGAAGAGAAAGACGGUAAGUGAGGAGGAAGCCGCGGCUAACGACGGGCCAGCAGCCGCGGUAAUACGUAGGGGGCUUGCUUUCUCCGGACUUACUGGGCGUACCGGGUGCGUAGGUGGUUUCUUAAGUCAGAGGUGAAAGGCUACGGCUCACCCGUAGUAAGCCUUUGAAACUGGGGAACUUACGUGCAGGAGCGGCGAUUGGAAUUCCUAGUGUAGCGGUGAAAUGCGUAGAUAUUAGGAGGAACACCAGUUGCGAAGGCGGCUCUCUGGACUGUAACUGCCACUGAGGCAC